rnacentral:lncRNA from 1 species
AGUGAAGGCGGGAAAACUGCAGCGCGCGCGGCUCCUCGCCGAGCACUACGCAGACUCGUAUGGAGUAGCAUAUGGAGGACUGGCAGGUCUUCAGUGAUGAAAACCUAAAGAACUAAAGAGAGGACGCGGAAUUCUCCCGCUUUUGUUUUGUCGCCAAAAGGUCUAAAUUGCCAUUAUCUGAUAAAGUCCAUCAUCUCAUCAGUGCUCAUCUUUACACGCUCAGCAUCUCCAGAGCAGGCAACUGUCACCAUGGAGACACCGCCAUUCUUUUGCUCAUGUGAGGAGAUUAAAAGUGCUCUGCCCAUUACUGACUGGUACAAGCCCUGAGACUUGAAUGGAUGGACAGCCAUUAUGAGAAGAAGAAGAUACCUUUUUCAUUUAGACCAGCUUUUUCUUCAAGGCUGCUGCAAGAACAGAAGCUCACCUUUCCCACAGAAAAACCCUUGGAUUAUGACCAGGAACAACAGAGAGCAGGCCCAGUCUUCCUGUAUCUACUCUUCAUUACCCAGCCACAACACCAAGGAGUUCAUCUACUGCUUUGAAGCCAUGUGUUCAUGGUGGAAUUUGAGAAAGAAGACAGCAGCAGGACUCACAGACAGCUGUGUCCUUAUUGAUUUGUUCCUGUGAGGCAGUAGCAGUUCAGCACUCACAAGGAAAACAUCUGAACAGUGACUCAAACAGGUCAGUGUGUAGCUGUAAAUCACCUAUAAAAUAUUUGUCUGUAUAAGUGUAGUAUUACUAUUUAAU